rnacentral:rRNA from 1 species
GUGGGGAAUUUUGGACAAUGGGCGAAAGCCUGAUCCAGCCAUGCCGCGUGCAGGAUGAAGGCCUUCGGGUUGUAAACUGCUUUUGUACGGAACGAAAAGACUCUGGUUAAUACCUGGGGUCCAUGACGGUACCGUAAGAAUAAGCACCGGCUAACUACGUGCCAGCAGCCGCGGUAAUACGAAGGGUGCAAGCGUUAAUCGGAAUUACUGGGCGUAAAGCGCGCGUAGGUGGUUCAGCAAGUUGGAGGUGAAAUCCCCGGGCUCAACCUGGGAACUGCAUUUGUGACUGUAUAGCUAGAGUACGGCAGAGGGGGAUGGAAUUCCGCGUGUAGCAGUGAAAUGCGUAGAUAUGCGGAGGAACACCGAUGGCGAAGGCAAUCCCCUGGGCCUGUACUGACGCUCAUGCACGAAAGCGUGGGGAGCAAACAGGAUUAGAUACCCCUGUAGUCC